rnacentral:rRNA from 1 species
CCCUUAGACGCUCUAGGCGGCACGCGCGCUACAAUGGGUGGUAGAACGUGUUACUGCUUCCGAAAGGGAGGGUGAACCACGAAUACUGACCCGUGAAUGGGAUAGUUUGUUGCAAUUUUCGGACUUGAACUAGGAAUCCCUUUAAGCAUGCUCAAGAAUAGCGUGUUGAAUACGUCCCUGCCGUUUGUACACACCGCCCGUCGUUUCUUCCGACUGAUACUCAUUGUGAGUUGCAAGGAUUCCAUCUGGAAAAAUUGCUGCGAAUGCUUUGUAUUGGAGGAAGAAAAAGUCGUAACA